UGUAACCCCAACACUUUUUGGAGGCUGAGGUGAGAGUAUACUUGAGCCUGGGAGUUUGAGACCAGCCUGGGCAACAUAGGGAGAUCCUGCCUCUACAAAAAUAAUAAAAAAUAUUAGUUGGGCUUGGUGGUGUGCACCUGUGGUCUCAGCUACUCGGGAGGCUGAGGUGGGAGGAUUACCCACCUCAAGCCCGGGGGGUUGAGGCUGUAGUGAGCCAAGAUUGCACCACCGCACUCCAGCUUGGGUGACAGAGUGAGACCCUGUCUCAUAAACAAACAAAAAAAUGGAGAUAUUUUACAUAGGAAUUUAAAUAUUUGACCUCUCCUAGAAAAUCAAGUGCGUGGCAACUCUGGGCCUAUUCCCGUGUGUUCCUCAGCCAUCGCUCGGGCCAGGGCCUGGGUGCGCAGGCUGUCCCCUGCCCCGUAGGCCCCCAGCCUAGUUCAAUAGUCAAGCAUUUUGAAGAGAAUGAAUGAAAUCCAGUUCUUGACGGUCCUAAAGGAAUACUUGACGUCUAUGAAGUUGAGCAGUUUCCAGGUUUACCUGGAUUCUGGGCAAACACAGUCUGAGAAGUAGCUGGGGCUCCAGGCAGGUGCUCAGGGGGCAUCUCUGCAGGGGAACUGCCAGGCUUUCGGGAGGGCUGGCCUCACCCCCAAGGCCUCACUGCCAUGCUUGUCUUGGCAGAAUCACCUCCACUGUGGCCUGCGACAUGGACCUGGCCAAAUACCCCAUGGACGAGCAGGAGUGCAUGCUGGACCUGGAGAGCUGUGAGUGGGUGUACAAGGCGGGCAGGGGCUUCUCUCGGAGGGGCCACGCUGGCUUCUCCAGCAGUGGAUGGGGGCUCAGACUGUCAGCCCGGGGCCUGGACAAGGCUGGCCCGGCUCAGGGUGCAGGAAAGCACCAAACCAGCUUCUGCAUGCAAGAAGCCUGGGCAGGAGGAGAAGGGGCCAGAAGGCCUGGAGCAGUCUGGCUUGUGGGUCUGUGCCCUGCCUGGGGAGCCGGGCCGUGGAGCCCAGACAUGGCACGGAUUGAUAGUGUUGAGCCAGUGCAGCAGCCCCUGUGUGUCACCUGACAACGGUGACCCCAUCUGUGUCCCAUCCACCUGCCCAGCGGAGCCCGACGUGGUCCCAGAGCCGAAGGCCUCCUCGCUCCUGGCUGGGGUCCUGCUCGGUCCCCAUCACGAUGGCGUCGGCCCCCUGCAGGCUUCCUGUGUGGACGGAGCGCUCCUGCCAGGGCUCCCGGGGCAGGGCCAGGCUCUGCCGCCCACCUGUGUGCUUUUCCUCCAGACGGUUACUCAUCGGAGGACAUUGUCUACUACUGGUCGGAGAGCCAGGAGCACAUCCACGGGCUGGACAAGCUGCAGCUGGCGCAGUUCACCAUCACCAGCUACCGCUUCACCACGGAGCUGAUGAACUUCAAGUCCGCUGGCCAGUUCCCACGGCUCAGCCUGCACUUCCACCUGCGGAGGAACCGCGGCGUGUACAUCAUCCAGUCCUACAUGCCCUCCGUCCUGCUGGUCGCCAUGUCCUGGGUCUCCUUCUGGAUCAGCCAGGCGGCGGUGCCCGCCAGAGUGUCUCUAGUGCCCGCUCCUCCCUGCCGCGGGCGUCAGCCAUCAAGGCACUGGACGUCUACUUCUGGAUCUGCUAUGUCUUCGUGUUUGCCGCCCUGGUGGAGUACGCCUUUGCGCAUUUCAACGCCGACUACAGGAAGAAGCAGAAGGCCAAGGUCAAGGUCUCCAGGCCGAGGGCAGAGAUGGACGUGAGGAACGCCAUUGUCCUCUUCUCCCUCUCCGCUGCCGGCGUCACGCAGGAGCUGGCCAUCUCCCGCCGGCAGCGCCGCGUCCCGGGGAACCUGAUGGGCUCCUACAGGUCGGUGGGGGUGGAGACAGGGGAGACGAAGAAGGAGGGGGCGGCCCGCUCAGGAGGCCAGGGGGGCAUCCGUGCCCGGCUCAGGCCCAUCGACGCAGACACCAUUGACAUUUACGCCCGCGCUGUGUUCCCUGCGGCAUUUGCGGCUGUCAAUGUCAUCUACUGGGCGGCGUACGCCAUGUGAGCACCGGACU
rnacentral:sRNA from 1 species